GGAUGUGAGGGCGAUCUGGCUGCAACAUCUGUCACCCCAUUGAUCGCCAGGGUUGAUUCGGCUGAUCUGGCUGGCUAGGCGGGUGUCCCCUUCCUCCCUCACCGCUCCAUGUGCGUCCCUCCCGAAGCUGCGCGCUCGGUUGAAGAGGACGACCUUCCCCGAUAGAGGAGGACCGUUCUUCGGUCAAGGGUAUACGAGUAGCUGCGCUCCCCUGCUAGAACCUCCAAACAAGCUCUCAAGAGUGAGGUCUCAGCGGGCAGUGGCUGUGUCUGUCCCAGUUGCUGUUCCCAGCUCUCU
rnacentral:snRNA from 1 species